rnacentral:rRNA from 1 species
GACGAACGCUGGCGGCGUGCUUAACACAUGCAAGUCGAACGGAAAGGCCCUGCUUUUGUGGGGUGCUCGAGUGGCGAACGGGGGAGUAACACGUGUGUAACCUGCCCCUGACUGUGGGAGAACUUCAGGAAACUGGGGCUAAUACAGGAUAGGAGCUCCUGCUGCAUGGUGGGGGAUGGAAAGUUUCGGCGGUGGGGGAUGGACUCGCGGCUUAUCAGCUUGUUGGUGGGGUAGUGGCUUACAAAGGCUUUGAAGGGUAGCCCGCCUGAGAGGGUGACCGGCCUCCUUGGGCCUGCGGUACGGCCCAGACUCCUACGGGAGGCAGCAGUGGGGAAUAUUGCACAGUGGGCGGACGCCUGAUGCAGCGACGCCGCGUGCGGGAUGACGGCCUUCGGGUUGUAAACCGCUUUCGCCUGUGCCGAAGCGUUAGUGACGGUACUGGGUAAAGAAGCACCGGCUAACUACGUG